rnacentral:rRNA from 1 species
UACGUAGGGUGCGAGCGUUAAUCGGAAUUACUGGGCGUAAAGCGUGCGCAGGCGGUUCGUUAAGUUCGAUGUGAAAGCCCCGGGCUCAACCUGGGAACUGCAUUGGAAACUGGCGAGCUUGAGUAUGGCAGAGGGGGGUGGAAUUCCACGUGUAGCAGUGAAAUGCGUAGAGAUGUGGAGGAACACCGAUGGCGAAGGCAGCCCCCUGGGCUAACACUGACGCUCAUGCACGAAAGCGUGGGGAGCAAACAGG